UGGGAACGUACCCUUUGGUUCGGAACAACCCAGGGAAACCUGGGCUAAUACCGGAUAAGUCCGUAAGGAGAAAGAUUUAUCGCCAAAGGAUCGGCCCGCGUCUGAUUAGCUAGUUGGUAGGGUAAUGGCCUACCAAGGCUACGAUCAGUAGCUGGUCUGAGAGGAUGAUCAGCCACAUUGGGACUGAGACACGGCCCAAACUCCUACGGGAGGCAG
rnacentral:rRNA from 1 species